rnacentral:rRNA from 1 species
UACGGGGGGGGCAAGCGUUGUUCGGAAUUACUGGGCGUAAAGGGUUUGUAGGUGGCCCGCUAAGUCACACGUGAAAUCCCUCAGCUUAACUGGGGAACUGCGUGUGAGACUGGCAGGCUCGAGGGCAGGAGAGGAACGCGGAAUUCCAGGUGUAGCGGUGAAAUGCGUAGAUAUCAAGAGGAACACCAGUGGCGAAGGCGGGUCUCUGGACAGUUCCUGACGCUGAGGCACGAAGGCCAGGGGAGCAAACGGG